CAAAGUGCUGGGAUUACAGGCAUGAGCCACCGCGCCCGGCCAACAAAUUCAUUACAUUUGCAGGAUUUCUCUCAUGUGUGUUUUCUCUAAUAAUCAGCAAAUUGUGACUGCUGGAAGAAAGUUCUUCCACACGCAGUACAUUUGAAAGGUUUCUCCCCUAUAUGUGUUUUCUGAUGUUUAGUGAGGUUUGGUUUCACAUGGAAGGAUUUCCUACAUUCCUUACAUUCAUAUGGUUUCUCCCCUGUGUGAGUUCUCUGAUGAUGACUGAAGUUUGAUUUUGCUUAGGAUUUCCCAUUACACUGAUAGGGUUUCUCCCUGUGUGAAUACUCUGAUGGACUCUUAGGACUGAGCUAUGACAAAAACGUUUCUUACAGUCACUACAUACAUAAAGCUUCUUUUCUGAUUGACUUAUCUGGUGAUCAGUGAGGGCUGACUUCACAAGGGUUUUACCAGAUUCAUGGGGUUUCUCUUCUCGAUGCAUUAUCUGAGAGUUGGUAAGUUGUCAUUUCUGGAAGGUUUUCCCAUAUUUAUUACUUUCACAGGGUUUCUCUCUUGUUUGAGCUGUCUCUUGUGUGAUGGUGGCUACCUUCUCAAGGAAGGGAUUUCCAUGUUCAUUAGCUUCCAAAGGUGGGCUAAAGCUUGAAUUUCCUGUUCCUUAAUAAGGUCCUCACUAUGACUUGGUGACUUCCCACUUUGGUU
rnacentral:lncRNA from 10 species